UACGGGGGGGGCAAGCGUUGUUCGGAAUUACUGGGCGUAAAGGGCUCGUAGGCGGCCAACUAAGUCAGACGUGAAAUCCCCAGGCUCAACCUGGGAACUGCGUCUGAUACUGGAUGGCUUGAGUUUGGGAGAGGGACGCGGAAUUCCAGGUGUAGCGGUGAAAUGCGUAGAUAUCUGGAGGAACACCGGUGGCGAAGGCGGCGUCCUGGACCAACACUGACACUGAGGAGCGAAAGCCAGGGGAGCAAACGGG
rnacentral:rRNA from 1 species